rnacentral:rRNA from 1 species
AUUGAACGCUGGCGGCAGGCCUAACACAUGCAAGUCGAGCGGAUGAAGGGAGCUUGCCCCUGGAUUCAGCGGCGGACGGGUGAGUAAUGCCUAGGAAUCUGCCUGGUAGUGGGGGAUAACGUCCGGAAACGGGCGCUAAUACCGCAUACGUCCUGAGGGAGAAAGUGGGGGAUCUUCGGACCUCACGCUAUCAGAUGAGCCUAGGUCGGAUUAGCUAGUUGGUGGGGUAAAGGCCUACCAAGGCGACGAUCCGUAACUGGUCUGAGAGGAUGAUAAGUCACACUGGAACUGAGACACGGUCCAGACUACUACGGGAGGCAGCAGUGGGGAAUAUUGGACAAUGGGCGAAAGCCUGAUACAGCCAUGCCGCGUGUGUGAAGAAGGUCUUCGGAUUGUAAAGCACUUUAAGUUGGGAGGAAGGGCAGUAAGUUAAUACCUUGCUGUUUUGACGUUACCAACAGAAUAAGCACCGGCUAACUUCGUG